rnacentral:rRNA from 1 species
AUUGAACGCUGGCGGAAUGCUUUACACAUGCAAGUCGAACGGUAGAGGGGGCAACCCCUUGAGAGUGGCGAACGGGUGAGUAAUAUAUCGGAACGUGCCCAGUCGUGGGGAUAACGUAGCGAAAGUUACGCUAAUACCGCAUACGAUCUAAGGAUGAAAGCGGGGGACUCGCAAGAGCCUCGCGCGAUUGGAGCGGCCGAUAUCAGAUUAGGUAGUUGGUGAGGGUAAAAGGCUCACCAAGCCGACGAUCUGUAGCUGGUCUGAGAGGACGACCAGCCACACUGGGACUGAGACACGGCCCAGACUCCUACGGGAGGCAGCAGUGGGGAAUUUUGGACAAUGGGCGCAAGCCUGAUCCAGCAAUGCCGCGUGCAGGAUGAAGGCCUGGU